AUACUUACCUGGCAGGAAGGUACCAUGAUCACGAAGUUGGUUUCCCCAGGCCGAGGCUUAUCCAUUGCACUCCGGAUGUGCUGACCCCUGCGGCUUCCCCAAAUGUGGGAAAUUCGACUGCAUUAAA
ensembl:snRNA U1 U1 spliceosomal RNA